CCUACGGGAGGCAGCAGUGGGGAAUAUUGCACAAUGGGGGAAACCCUGAUGCAGCGACGCCGCGUGAGUGAAGAAGUAUUUCGGUAUGUAAAGCCCUAUCAGCAGGGAAGAAAAUGACGGUAUCUGACUAAGAAGCCCCGGCUAACUACGUGCCAGCAGCCGCGGUAAUACGUAGGGGGCAAGCGUUAUCCGGAUUUACUGGGUGUAAAGGGAGCGUAGACGGCAGAACAAGUCUGGAGUGAAAUGCCGGGGCUUAACCCCAGAACUGCUUUGGAAACUGUGCAGCUAGAGUGCAGGAGAGGUAAGUGGAAUUCCUGGUGUAGCGGUGAAAUGCGUAGAGAUUAGGAGGAACACCAGUGGCGAAGGCGGCUUACUGGACUGUAACUGACGUUGAGGCGCGAAAGCGUGGGGAGCAAACAGGAUUAGAUACCCGGGUAGUC
rnacentral:rRNA from 1 species